rnacentral:rRNA from 1 species
GGUUGAUCCUGCCAGUAGUCAUGAUGCUUGUCUCAAAGAUUAAGCCAUGCAUGAUUAGAUGAAAAAACCUAAUUUUUCCCCAAAGACUGCUGGAAACUGCGAAUGGCGUCAUUAAAUCAGUUAUAGUUUGUUGAUGGUAUCUGCUACUCGAUAACCGUUAGUAAUGUCUAGCAGCUAAUACGUUAUGCCAACAAAACCCCGACUUCUGGAAGGGAUGCAUUAUUAGAUAACAACGGUCGACGCGGGCUCUGCCCGUGCUCUGAUGAGUCAUGAUAAUCGACGGAUCGCACGGCAUCGUGCGGCGACGCAUCAUUCAAAUUUCUGCCCUAUCAACUUUCGGAUGCGUAGGAUAGAGGCCUACCAUGGUGCGUGACGGGUGACGGAAAUUAGGGUUCGAUUCCGGACGAGGGAGCCUCUGAGAAACGGCUACCCAUCCAAGGAAGGCAGCAGCUCCUGCGCAAAUUACCCAAUCCUGACACGGGGGAGGGUAAGCUGACAAUAAAUAACAAUACCGGGCUCUUCGAGUCUGGUAAUUGGAAUGAGUUACAAUCUAAAUCCCUUAACGAGGAAUCCAUUGGAGGGCAGAGCGUCUGGGCCAGCAGCCGCGCGGUAAAUUUCCAGCUCCAAUAGCGUAUAUUUAAGUUGUUGCCAGUUAAAAAAGCGUCGUAGGUUGGACCUUUGGGUGGUCGACCGGUCCGACCCUCCGGUUGUGCACCUGUCGGCUCGGUCCCUGUCUGCCGCAUGCGCCUCCUGGCCUAACUGGCCGGGCGGGCCUCCGGCCGCUGUUACUUUGAAGAAUUUAGGAAGACACCAGUGCUCAAAGCAAGCCUACGCUCUGGAUACAUUAGCAUGGCAAAACAUCAUAGGAUUUCGGUUCCUAUUGUGUUAGGCCUUCGGGAUCGCGAGUAAUGAUUAACAGGGCACAGUCGGGCAUUCGUUAUUUUCAUAGUCAGCAGGUGAAAUUCUUGCGGAUUUAAUGAAAGACGAACAACUGCCGAAAGCAUUUGCAAGGAUGUUUUCAUUAAUCAAAGAACGAAAUCCUCGCGUGCGUCGAAGACGAUCAGAUACCGUCCUAGUCUCAAACAUAAACGAUUCCGACCAGGGAUCGGGCGGAAUGUUGCUUUUAGGGACUCCGCCGCACCUUAUGAGAAAUCAAAGUCUUUGGUUCCGGGGGGAGUAUUUUGCGUCGCAAGCUGAAACUUAAAGGAAUUGACGGCAAGGGCACCACCAGGGAGGUGCGAUCCUGCCCGGCUUAUUUGACUCAACACGUGGAUAAACUUACAGGUCCAGAAGCAUAGUAAAGGAAUUGACAGACUGGGUGAGCAGCUUCUUCUUAGAUUUCUAUGGGUGGUGCGCUGCAUGGCGUUCUUAGUUGGUGGACGAUUUGUCUGGUUAAUUCCGUACGAACGAGACCUCAGCCUGCUAACUAGCUUAGUUUUUUGGAUGUGCGGUGGCAGAGGUUGCGACCCUCCCGGGCCAGCUUCUUAGUAGCGGACUAUGCGCCUUUUAGGCAGCAAGUUUGAGCAAUAACAGGUCUGUUGGAUGCCCUUAGCAUGUUCUGGGCCGCACGUCGCUACACUGAUGUAUUCAACGAGUCUAUAGCCUUGGCCGACGGCCCGGAGGUAAUCUUGAAAUUUCAAUCGUUUGAUGGGAUAGAUCAUUUUGCCAAUUGUUGGUCUUCAACGCAGGAAUUCCUAGUAACGCGCGAGUCAUCAGCUCGCGUGACUACGUCCCUGGCCCUUUGUCACACCGGCCCGUCGCUCCUACCAUUGAAUGGUCGGUUGUGAAGUGUUCGGAUCGCCUCGCGACGUGGCGGUUCGCCGCCAGGCGACGUCGCUGAGAAAGCUCCACUGAACCUUAUUCAUUUAGAGGAAGGACGAAGUCGUAACAAGUUUCCGUAGUUGAACCUGCGGCAA